rnacentral:lncRNA from 1 species
UGGACGUCAUACUAAACUCCGAAUUAUACACAAGAAACUAAAAUUUAAAAUCAUACAAGACUAAACAAGCCAGAGGCUCCUGACUUGGGACAGGCCGCAAAAUUGCGGCGGGGUUAAACAUGUUUAUGAUUCUCAACCUCCCCCUAUACCUCUAGCCAAUGUAGAAAAGUAAAAGAAUAACAAUACGCACAUUAAAAUUCAGUUCAAGAGAAGUCCGAGUCUGAUGUCAAAAGAUGUAACAAAAGAAAAUAAAUAAAAUGACAAUAAUACAUAAAUAACAACAGACUACUAGCAGUUAACUGACAUGCCAGCUCCAGACCUCAAUUAAACUGAUUGAAAGAUUAUGUCUUCAUCAUAUGAAUAUCAGGUACAAUCCCUCCCGUUAGGGGUUUAGUAUCAUACUAUCAUAAAAUAUAUGAGAAGAACAUAACCCGUGUCAUGCCAACAACUGUUUUUUUAGAAGUAAAUGUGUUUAGUUCCGAUGCAAAGACCCUAUCAGUGAAUCAAUGUUAAAGCCAAAAUAUGCAAUCUUUAAUGACCUGACAACAGUAUCGUAACUAUAUCCCCUUUUAAUAAGUCUAUUUAAAGGUUUUGUUAGUUUCUGAG